UGCGUAGGCGGUUGUUUAAGUUUGGUGUGAAAUCUCCCGGCUCAACCGGGAGGGUGCGCCGAAUACUGAAUGACUCGAGUGCGGGAGAGGAGAGUGGAAUUCCUGGUGUAGCGGUGAAAUGCGUAGAUAUCAGGAGGAACACCGGUGGUGUAGACGGCUCUCUGGACCGUAACUGACGCUGAGGCACGAAAGCGUGGGUAGCAAACA
rnacentral:rRNA from 1 species